UACGAAGGGGGCUAGCGUUGCUCGGAAUGACUGGGCGUAAAGGGCGCGUAGGCGGAUGGCUUUGUCGGGCGUGAAAUUCCAGGGCUUAACCUUGGGGCUGCGUUCGAGACGGGUUGUCUUGAGUGGGGAAGAGGGUCGUGGAAUUCCCAGUGUAGAGGUGAAAUUCGUAGAUAUCGGGAGGAACACCGGUGGCGAAGGCGGCGAUCUGGGUAGAUACUGACGCUGAGGUGCGAAAGCGUGGGGAGCAAACAGG
rnacentral:rRNA from 1 species